AGAGUUUGAUCCUGGCUCAGAACGAACGCUGGCGGCGUGCUUAACACAUGCAAGUCGAACGUGAUCCGGAGCUUGCUCCGGUGAAAGUGGCGCACGGGUGAGUAACGCGUGGAUAACCUGCCCUGGUAUCUGGGAUAACAUCUCGAAAGGGGUGCUAAUACCGGAUAAGCUCACGACCUCUUCGGAGGAUGCGAGAAAAGGUGGCCUCUAUUUAUAAGCUACCGUAUCAUGAUGGGUCCGCGUACCAUUAGCUAGUUGGUGGGGUAAUGGCCUACCAAGGCUACGAUGGUUAGCUGGUCUGAGAGGAUGAUCAGCCACACUGGAACUGAGACACGGUCCAGACUCCUACGGGAGGCAGCAGUGGGGAAUUUUGCGCAAUGGGGGAAACCCUGACGCAGCAACGCCGCGUGAGUGAUGAAGGCUUUCGGGUCGUAAAGCUCUGUCAGAGGGGAAGAAAUGGAAACGGUUAAUACCCGUUUUUCUUGACGGUACCCUCGAAGGAAGCACCGGCUAACUCCGUGCCGGCCGCCGCGGUAAUAC
rnacentral:rRNA from 1 species